AUGAUGAAGAUAUUUUGCAAACCUUAUCCACCGAGGAAAACAUUGUGGUAAGAUUUGUUCUAUAAAAUUGAUUCCGUUUAAUUAAUAAGUUAUUAUUUUGGGACACUAAAACUGUUUUUCUCCUAUGAAGUGUAAUACUCCUAUUGCUCGUCGUCUGUUAUGUUUUCUCCUAUAUAGGUCUAAUUAUUCCUAAAUUCUUUAAUGUUUUCUCUUUCUGGUGUUUAAUAUGUUAAAAAUUUCUGAUAUGGCAAACAUAAUGGUAUACAUCAUCUGUCUGCAGCUUGAAAAAAGUAAAAUUUUUUUAUCUUUUCUUCACUACAUGCAUUAUCCAACUUUAAAUGAUUGUUUUGAAGCCAUACUUGAUUUUAAAAAAUGCAGCAAGUUAUUAUUGGACUGGAUACUGCAGAGAUGAUUAGUGAGGUUGAGUUGCUAGGUCAUUCAGAAAUUGAUUUUGGCAUUGAUGAGUUAGAUGAUGAAGAUAGUGAUUUCCAUGAUGAAGAGGACGAUGACACUGAAAACGAUAACUAUGGAAAGGUGGUAACUUUUCCUUCAAUUCCCCCUUCAAGUUUCAGAUUGUAGUUUUCUGCAGUAUGUGGACAUUGAUAUUGUUCAUCUGCAGGACUGGGUUGGUGUUCUUGAUGAUGAAGAAGAAGAUCUGGAUGAGGACUCUGAUGGAUCCAUAGGGGACUGGGCUAAAUUGGAGACCAUGCGGUCUUCUCAUCCAAUGCAUUUUGCCAAAAAGCUAGUUGAGGUGACUCUCCUAAUCAAAUUUGCUACAUAGUGUAGUAUUAGAAAAGUAGAUCGAAAAAAGUGGAACAUGGAAUACCAUUCUACUAAAUUGACUUUCCGACUAAAAUUACUAUAAUAUUUUUGCCUUUAUUUUGUCAUCGUCAUAUUCCCUUCUCUAAUUUAAAAUGAAUCAAGUUAAUACACCAUCAUAUAUCCAUUUUUGUGAAUCUAUUUUUGUUACAGGUUGUGUCUGAUAAUCCAGAUGAAUAUAUGGAGCAGCCUUCUGCUGGUCUUGCCAUACAAGGCCUCCUAAGACCUGCAUUUAUUGAAGAACACUCUGUCAUCCAGAACCAUAAAUCUAGUGGUGCUGAUACUAAUUACAUUUCUGAAGAACAAAUUCAAGAAGCCAUUUUUCAGAUCAAUGGUCACAAACCCGAAAAUGAAACUAUGCAAGGUAGCCCAAAUUUGGCAGGGGAAUUGGAGAAGGAUGAAAUGCUGGGAAAUGGAACUUUAUUUUACAAGCUAGAGAUGAUUAAAAUUCAGUUAGUUUCAUCACAUGGACAUCCGGUACUUUUGAUUUUUCUUUGAGAAUCUCAAGAUUGCAUGGUGCUCUCAUUUCUUCUGACCUUUACUUCUUCAUAUUUAAACUUUUUUGGUUCUCAUACUUGAGAAAGCUGCUGAAUCUACUCUAUUUUCUGCCUCUUUUGUAACUCUGCAUGUUCACAACUAUGUUUUGAUAGCAAUCCUAAAGUUGGCAGAAGUCAUCCAUGCCAUUUAGUGAAAUUUCUUUCAGCAUAUAUAUGUUCCAUGUACACAAUAUAGUUAUCUGUGGCGUGUUUAUUUCAUCUAAUAUUAGAAUGGAGAUGAAAAGUUUUGCUUGAUUCCUCUUCUUUUUCUUAAAAUACUCUGCUUUCAUGUCCUUGCAAUUGUUUACUAUCAGAAAUGAUACGUAGGGACCUGAAAAGGAGUUGUAGAGGAUAGAUGAGGAAAAGAAGAUGAAGGAAAUUAUGCUAUCAAUUUUCCCAUUACCCCAUGUUGAAUGAAAAACGUUUAUUUCUCUUUCUGAAAGCAGUGGGCUUUAAAUGGCAAACAACGAUUGGGAUGAGAAUAUCCCCCAAAUAGUAGGGGGCAGCCUUCCGUUUGAUACUAAUAGAUAUAUCUUUUGUACUCAAGGUCCAUCUCAAAUAUCGUAAAUAUCAACACCUCAAAUGAUGAACCUUCUUAUCAUUAGGGCAUGUUCUUAACUUGAACCAACUGUUUGACUUGAGAAAUAACUUGACUCUGUGUUUGCAAGUAUGCUGCUGCAAUGACUUGGCUGUACAAAUUUGACAUCCCAGACUUUGUGUCAGAUGUAUUUGAACAAAUAUAGAUUGUAAUGUACUUGACAGUUGCCUUUCUAUGCUACGUAUACUGAUGCGAUUAAAUUUCAAAUAGUAUUACGCAUUGAAUGCACCACUUUGAGGUGGUCUAUCCUUUUGCUAUUAGGAUGGGAAAGCAUAAAUUACUUUUUUUGUUCUGUUUGUGCUUUCUACAGAAUUUUGUUGAUAUAGAAGAUUUUAUGAAAGCUCAACCUGAUGCAAUAGUACAUUCAGCUGCAAAAAUUAUAUCUCGUGUCAAAUCUGGUGGAGAAAAGACUACACAAGCUCUCAAAUCUCUGUGCUGGAGAUGCAAGGGUAUUCAAGUGGAGGUGACACAAUGGAGUUAUAUUAAUCUGUAAUUGUAUCAUGCCUGUUAACUUGAAGUAAACUUUGCAUUGUUUGUAACUUGGAAAAUUGACAUGAAAAUAAGAUUAUAAUUUCACCCAUUCUUUGGUGACAUUUACAGCAUGAAGAAAGUGAGAGGAAUCAAUAUCUACUUCUCCUCACCCAUCUCUUCAUGAACAAGGCCUUUUAAACUUAUUCCCUCCUGGAAACUUAGUACUUACUUUUGCGAGAUUAAUUUGUUAAGAAUUUAAAUUGUGUAUGAAAAGUUACGUUCAUAAUAUUGGACCCUCAUCCAGUUGACGUUCUAUAUACUCUCUUGCAAUAUAUUGUCUUGGAAUACAAGAGAAGGCCAUCUAACAUAUUAAGAGAGAGUCAGAAAAGUUAUUUUUCUGCAAGCAAGUUCUUUUGCUAAUUUUAUAUAUUGAAUUUGUGACAGGAGGUGGCUCUUAUAGGUGUAGACAGCCUUGGUUUUGACUUAAGAAUUUGCUGUGGAACACAAGUACAAACAUUGCGUUUUGCAUUUAAGAAGAGGGUAUAUACUUUUUGUUCUUUACUUUUAUAUUCCAUCAAUUUCAUAUGCUCGUACUCAUCUUGGACCCAUGUGUUUGCAAUGAAAGAACAAUCUCUCUUAUCGUGAUGCAUGGCCUGGACUAUAUACAAAAUAGUGAAAAUUACCUUUUUAUAUAUCUCUCUCCUCUCCCUCUUUAACAAGUUGAUUUCCAGGCCUCUUCGGAGUAUAGCGCUGAAAGACAGUUGAAUGAUCUACUGUUUCCAAGAGUCCACAAGUUUCAACAAAAGAAAGAAUCUCAACAGACUGAAUCAUAACAUAUAGGUAUUCAAGUUCAUUUCUGUUUGUUCACCUCGUGUGCAUGUUUUAAAAGUUGUAUGCGAACAGCACAAGGGGAAUUCUUUUCUUGUUACCAGUUUCCUUGUAUCUUAACUGCUAGGUGAUUACUUUUAUUCUCUCUAUUUUAUCCCGGCCUCAACUGUAUAAGCUGAAUUUUGGUUUUGAUUGUGCUAUUCUAAAGGCAUCCACUGUUUACGCUGCUUAUGUACUUCUUGAGACUGAU
rnacentral:lncRNA from 1 species